rnacentral:ncRNA from 1 species
GUGUCUGCUGAACACUUGCGUCUGGUAGGAAGCACUUGCCUGUCCGUCACUUUAGUACUCUUUGCACACUGAAGCGUGUCGAUGGUAGGAUAGAGGCCUACCAUGGUUGCGACGGGUAAGGGGGAAUAAAGGUUUGAUCCUGGAGAGGGAGCCUGAAAAACGGCUACCACAUCCAAGGAAGGCAGCAGGUGCGCAAAUUACCCAAUCCCAACACGGGGAGGUAGUGACACAAUACAUAACAACCUGGAGCUUUUUAAAGGUUCCAAAAUUGGAAUGUAUACAACUUAAAUCCCUUAAUGAGGAGCAGUUGAAGGGCAAGUCUGGUGCCAGCAGCUGCGGUAAUCCCAGCUCCAAU